AAACAAAAACUUUAUGAAAUAAAUCAAAACUUUGAAUCAAAACACAAACCUUUUUUGUUCUUGGCAAAAAUGUCAAGAACAAUGAAGAACAUUCAUGAAAAACCCAAAAUUUUUCCAUGAACUUUUUCCACCCAAAAACAUUCCAAAACCAUUCUUACUUAAGGGAAAUAACAUCUAACCAAACUAGGGUACAUAGGGGUUCCAAAGAACACAUUAAAACACUUUUAACAAGUCAAACAAGAACCCAAAAAUCCACCCUUUGGAUUUGGCCGAAAUUUUCCCAAAAAGCAUGGCACCAAAUUUUAGCUCCAAUAUUCAUGCUCUUAUGAACUACAUCUACAACAUUUGAGAUGGCAAAUUUUCUAACAAAAUUUACAUUCAAAGAAACAAGAAUAAAGC
rnacentral:lncRNA from 1 species